CCGAGUGAAGGGUUUUUACCAAAGCCCGAUCUCCCAACCCUUGUCUUCCUUACCACUUUGCUUUGGCAGGCCCGUCACUAUUGUGACCGCUGAAGGAUUUUAGUUAUAAAAUAUUAACUAAACCUUGGGCCCGUGCCUGCCAGGGGAAUUUAAAUACAUGUUAUAAAAUCAGUUGUCUGAGAAUAAAAAAAACAAAAUAACCA
rnacentral:misc_RNA from 1 species